GUAGUUGUGGCCGAGUGGUGAAGGCGAUGGACUAGAAAUCCCUUGGGGUUUCUCCGCGCAGGUUCG
rnacentral:tRNA from 1 species